GGAGACGUGGGUGAGUGGCUGAAACCAGCGGUUUGCUAAACCGCCGUAGGGGGAAUUCCCUUACCGAGGGUUCGAAUCCCUCCGUCUCCGCCA
rnacentral:tRNA from 2 species